CAAUGAGGUAGAGGCGCAGAAAGAAUGAGUACGCUGUGGAGCUAAGGGAGCUUUGAAGCAGUCGGAAAGGUCAAUUUGCCGAAGCAAAGAAUUGUGCCCUUAUAAUUCUUUGCUGGGUCGUUAUUGAAUAAAUAACGGACUGUCACUGCUUCUAGCGGUGGAGGACUACUUACUAC
rnacentral:ncRNA from 2 species